rnacentral:rRNA from 1 species
UACGGAGGGUGCAAGCGUUAUCCGGAUUUACUGGGUUUAAAGGGUGCGCGGGCGGAUAUGUAAGUCAGUGGUGAAAUCUCCGGGCUUAACCCGGAAAUUGCCGUUGAUACUAUAUAUCUUGAAUGCUGUGGAGGUAAGCAGAAUAUGUCAUGUAGCGGUGAAAUGCUUAGAUAUGACAUAGAAUACCUAUUGCGAAGGCAGCUUACUACGCAGAUAUUGACGCUCAUGCACGAAAGCGUGGGGAUCAAACAGG